rnacentral:sRNA from 1 species
AAUAGACUAUUUUUUUUACCUUCCAACUCUGCAAAACCACGCAACCAGUUUCUAGUACAUAACAAAAUCAAACUAGAGUUUGGUUUUUCAAGUGAAACUAGAGUUUGGUUUUUCAAGGAGAUGACGAGAGACUUCCGGCGGUGUAGACGGCGGCGACUCCGACGGUGACUUCGGCGGUGACUCUGACGGUGCAGACGGCGGAGAGAAGAAGAGGUCGAGAGAUAUCGGGAGAGAGACGGAUGUUGUGGUGGUGGCAAAAUUUUGGGGAAAAAAAAGAAUUUAGGAUUUUUCAAUAAAAUUGGCUAUUGGGCUAUUGGGCCUUUAACAUACUAAAAUAAUAAGUUAAAACCCACGGGUACCCAUAACUUAGUAGGGUAAAAUCCGUGUAAGACUUUAAUGAAAUGGGACCUGUCCAUUUAAAACCCAUGUUUUAUUUUAUACAAAAAGUAGAUUAAUGGGCUUAAAAUUUUAGGUGGGUUUCGGGUACUCAGUGAGUUUUAACCCAUUAUUAACAUCCCUAGAUCAUCUAUAUAGAGUAAAAAGUUUCAUCAAACGUUGGAGAAGAAGCAUGAGACGAUGAGUUUAGAUGACUGAAAUAUUUUUGAUAGACAAGUUAUGGAUGUAAGCAAGUUAACAACUAUCAAAGAAUGUUGCGCAUCACUUCGCGAAAGAAAUGUCUAUAGAGGGGUUAGUGAAAGUUCUCUCAGAUUUAUAUGAGAAACCUUCUGCCAACAUGCAAUAAUGU